ensembl:lncRNA
CGGGAAAGCAGGUGCUAGCGCAUUCGCGCUUAGUGCACGCUGCUUCAAGGGGGAAUCGUGACAGCUGAGGAUAGACUGAUGUAACCAGUGCACCAAAGUAACAGUGUUGGAAAGAUGCCACUCAGAAACAUGGCAGAGCCAAGGUCAGAUCACAUGUUAGCUUCAUUUUGUUGUUGUUGUUGCUUAUGCUCAGUGGCACAGUACACAGACAGUAAAGUGAAAGGAAAGCAAAUAAAACCUGCCACUUCUUUUGCCCAGCUCUCGGCCACAUCCACACAAAAAGAUCACUGCUUAGAGAGAGAAACAGAGAAAGAAAAUGAGAGCUCACAUGAAUAUUUGUGGGAAGAUAGGGCUCAUUUUUACCAUGUUAGUAAUUCCCAUCUAGCUUGUGCCCCAAACUCCAUCCUUCCACUGCAGACUCCCACUACUAACUACACCCCUACCUGCUACAAAGAAAUGUAUAGAAAUUUAAGCAGCUUUCCAAAAAAUAUUUUCAAGCCAGCAUGAACUUUUUUUUUUUUUUUUUUUUAGCUUUUUGCUCAAAAA